CAGAGAUGGAGCUGUGAAAGUAUCUGAAGGAGACAUUUACAGCUUCAAUGUAACAUUAUUGUGUGACCACUAAUGAUCUGGGACCUUACACAUCAGUAGAGAUUGAUGUGACUGUUAAAGAUGGUUCAGAUCAAGAUGCUCCAACAAACCAGAGACAGAAAACUGAUAGAAGAGCAGAGUCACUCCAUCACACAUCAAUUAUUCUUUUUGCUGCAGGUAUGGUAUUAAUGGGGUGAUGCUCAGUGUGAUGGCCAGUUUUCUGUGACGUUCCUACAUUUCCAGAAAGAAAUACUGGAUCUCCUUCAGUGUCUCCUUCAGAUUCCA